UACAACUUGACCAGGGGAGAGACGUACAGAAACCCCAGAAAAGGAAGUGUCCUGUCUGAGGAUGUGCCCUCUGGGUAUGAAGAUGUGGAGGACAGUGAGGGAGACCCUCUCUCAGGGACAGAUGAGAAGAAAGAAUACUAUGACGAUGCUUUUCCUCUGGAGAGGAGUGCUGGACUGAUGGGGACAGAAGACACAGCGGAGGACUAUGAUGAUGCUGUGGGUGUAGAACAGAGUCGACAUUUUUCACCAGGAGAGAAAGCGUUAACCACUCUGCCCCCUGGUGAGGGACCCCCUGAUCCUGACCACACUGACUAUGAUGAUGUGGGAGAUGGAGGAUCGUCUGCAGUUCUGGAAUCUCUCUGUGACUGACAGCCCAGUCUCAGUCUGAAGGUCCUUCUGCCCAAAGCUUCAAACCAACAGGCUCAUUAAGAUCUGAUGCUUCUAAAGUAGCUGGUAACAGUAACUUAAGAUGCUUAAUUUUUAUUUUUCAUCAACAAUUAAAUUUUCAGAAACUAUUGUAA